rnacentral:sRNA from 1 species
AGAUUCCCACCUGAGCCCGCCCUGCGGAGGCCCUCUGUACACAUGAAGGGUGGUCCUUGAUUAUUAUCUCACCUUCUUAUUUCAUCUGCCAGCCAAGCCCUAUCAAGAAAGAGCGCUCACCCAGACCUCAGAGCUUCUGCCACUCCUCCAGCAUCUCCCCCCAGGACAAGCUGGCACUGCCAGGAUUCAGCACUCCAAGGGACAAACAGCGGCUCUCCUACGGAGCCUUCACCAACCAGAUCUUCGUUUCCACAAGCACAGACUCGCCCACAUCACCAACCACGGAGGCUCCCCCUCUGCCUCCUAGGAACGCCGGGAAAGGUCCAACUGGCCCACCUUCAACACUCCCUCUAAGCACCCAGACCUCUAGUGGCAGCUCCACCCUAUCCAAGAAGAGGCCUCCUCCCCCACCACCCGGACACAAGAGAACCCUAUCCGACCCUCCCAGCCCACUACCUCAUGGGCCCCCAAACAAAGGCGCAGUUCCUUGGGGUAACGAUGGGGGUCCAUCCUCUUCAAGUAAGACUACAAACAAGUUUGAGGGACUAUCCCAGCAGUCAAGCACCAGUUCU